rnacentral:rRNA from 1 species
UGGCGGCAUGCCUAAUACAUGCAAGUCGAGCGGACUUGAUGAGAAGCUUGCUUCUCUGAUGGUUAGCGGCGGACGGGUGAGUAACACGUAGGCAACCUGCCCUCAAGCUUGGGACAACUACCGGAAACGGUAGCUAAUACCGAAUAGUUGUUUUCUUCUCCUGAAGAGAACUGGAAAGACGGAGCAAUCUGUCACUUGGGGAUGGGCCUGCGGCGCAUUAGCUAGUUGGUGAGGUAACGGCUCACCAAGGCGACGAUGCGUAGCCGACCUGAGAGGGUGAUCGGCCACACUGGGACUGAGACACGGCCCAGACUCCUACGGGAGGCAGCAGUAGGGAAUCUUCCGCAAUGGGCGAAAGCCUGACGGAGCAAUGCCGCGUGAGUGAUGAAGGUUUUCGGAUCGUAAAGCUCUGUUGCCAGGGAAGAACGCUUGGGAGAGUAACUGCUCUCAAGGUGACGGUACCUGAGAAGAAAGCCCCGGCUAACUACGUGCCAGCAGCCGCGGUAAUACGUAGGGGGCAAGCGUUGUCCGGAAUUAUUGGGCGUAAAGCGCGCGCAGGCGGUCAUUUAAGUCUGGUGUUUAAUCCCGGGGCUCAACCCCGGAUCGCACUGGAAACUGGGUGACUUGAGUGCAGAAGAGGAGAGUGGAAUUCCACGUGUAGCGGUGAAAUGCGUAGAUAUGUGGAGGAACACCAGUGGCGAAGGCGACUCUCUGGGCUGUAACUGACGCUGAGGCGCGAAAGCGUGGGGAGCAAACAGGAUUAGAUACCCUGGUAGUCCACGCCGUAAACGAUGAGUGCUAGGUGUUAGGGGUUUCGAUACCCUUGGUGCCGAAGGUUACACAUUAAGCACUCCGCCUGGGGAGUACGGUCGCAAGACUGAAACUCAACGGAAUUGACGGGGACCCGCACAAGCAGUGAAGUAUGUGGUUUAAUUCGAAGCCACGCGAACAACCUUACCAGGUCUUGCACUCGCUCUGACCGAUACAGAGAAUUACCGUUACUCCCGGACAGAGGAGACA